rnacentral:ncRNA from 1 species
AUCGCGGAUCAGUCAUGCCGCGGUGAAUACGUUCUUGCCUCUUGCACACACCGCCCGUCAAGCCAACAAAGUCGAUGAUAUUUGAACCCCUCACCUUUUUUUGUAAUGAAUAAUUAUCGAAAAAGGUGAGGGGGAGGAUAUUACCGGCGAUGGGGGUUAAGUCGUAACAAGGUAACCGUUCUGGAAGGAGCGGUUGGAUCACCUCCUUU